UACGGAGGGUGCAAGCGUUAUCCGGAUUCACUGGGUUUAAAGGGUGCGUAGGCGGGUAAGUAAGUCCGGGGUGAAAUCUCUGAGCUUAACUCAGAAACUGCCGUGGAUACUAUUUGCCUUGAAUAUUGUGGAGGUGAGCGGAAUAUGUCAUGUAGCGGUGAAAUGCUUAGAUAUGACAUAGAACACCAAUUGCGAAGGCAGCUCACUACACAAUCAUUGACGCUGAGGCACGAAAGCGUGGGGAUCAAACAGG
rnacentral:rRNA from 1 species